rnacentral:rRNA from 1 species
GACAGAGGGGGCAAGCGUUGCUCGGAAUCACUGGGCGUAAAGGGCGCGUAGGCGGGAUGGCAAGUCAGUCGUGAAAUCUCUCGGCUCAACCGAGAAACGUCGGCUGAUACUGCCGUUCUUGAGGGAUGCAGAGGAGACUGGAAUUCCCGGUGUAGCGGUGAAAUGCGUAGAUAUCGGAAGGAACAUCAGUGGCGAAAGCGACUUCCUGGACCAAUACUGACGCUCAUGUGCGAAAGCGUGGGGAGCAAACAGG